ACACAGUUUGACAGCUGUUGUACAGUGUCAUGUUUCUCUGUAGUGGCCUGCUUGAUGUGGUCAGUUUGGGAUGAUAUGUAUUUGACCCAAGGUGGAGCAGUGGUCAUUACCCACCAUCACCCAUCACCAUGCCAAAAACACCUCCUUGGAGCUCCAGUCUCCAUACAGCAUGGUGUCUUCUAGGUGAACUGACUUUACCUGGCUGAACAUGGGGGGACAUGUGUUGUUAAUAUGAAAUAGACAGGAAAUAGCAGCUGCAGGAAUAUCCCUUCAUUUCACAUAGUUGUGCAAGACACAGUAAGUUUUAGGAUGAAUGGGUUGUGAAGAGCCAGAGACAGGACAGCCAUGGUAAACAGGGAACUGCAGGGACUUCAUUUCACACACAUGGUUUGACAGUUGUUGUACAUGUUGUUGUGAAGCAUCUCCGUAGUGGCCUGCUUGAUGUGGUCAGUUUGGGACGAAAUUUAUUGGACCCAAUGUGGAGCAGUGGUCAUUACU